AAACUUAAAGGAAUUGACGGAAAGGCACCACCAGGCGUGGAGCUUGCGGCUCAAUUUGACUCAACACGGGAAAUCUCACCAGGCCCGGACACUGGAAGGAUUGACAGAUUGAUAGCUCUUUCUUGAUUCGGUGGGUGGUGGUGCAUGGCCGUUCUUAGUUGGUGGAGUGAUUUGUCUGGUUAAUUCCGAUAACGAACGAGACUCUCCCCUGCUAACGGACCUUAGUGUUUUUCUAGACGGUGUGAUUCGGAGCAAGAGUCCAUGGGCGUAAGCCCCGGUCUCGGACGAUGUCCACUGAUCCUUGGUGCGUUGGUGUUCCGCGUGCCAUCGGAGAGUCGAGUGUUCGCAUUCUUCGCCUCUGUGGAUUUCUCGGUUCAUUGACAAAGCGCCUCGGAGUACGUUUCUUCUUAGAGGGGUUGACGACUUAUAAGUCGUAAGAAACAGGGAGCAAUAACAGGUCUGUGAUGCCCUUAG
rnacentral:rRNA from 1 species